GGUGGCUCAGAAGUUGAGCAUCUGCUUUGCAUGCAGAAGGUUCCAGGUUCAAUCCCCAUAGCAUCUCCA